GACGAACGCUGGCGGCGUGCUUAACACAUGCAAGUCGAACGGGAAGUCCCUGCUUGCCUGGUACUCGAGUGGCUAACGGGUGAGUAACACGUGGGGGAUCUGCCCUGCACUUCGGGAUAGGCCUCGGAAACUGGGUAUGCUACCGGAUAGGAGCCAUAAUUCGUGUGAUGGUUGGAAAGUUUUUUCGGUGUAGGAUGAGCUGGCGGCCGAUCAGCUAGUUGGUGGGGGAAUGGCUUACCAAGGCGUCGACGGGUAGCCGGCCGGUGAGGGUGGACGGCCACAUUGGGUCGGAGAUAGGGCCCAGACUCCUACGGGAGGCAGCAGUGGGGAAUAUUGCACAAUGGGCGCAAGCCUGAUGCAGCGACGCCGCGUGCGGGAUGACGGACUUCGGGUUGUAAACUCCUUUCGCUAGGGACGAAGCUUUCUGUGACGGUACCUAGAGAAGAAGCACCGGCUAACUACGUG
rnacentral:rRNA from 1 species